rnacentral:rRNA from 1 species
AGGGUGUAAACGCUGCGGGCUUGGUGUUGGGGUCCUUUGAGGGCGCCCAGUGCCGGAGAGAAGUUGUUAAGCCUGCUGCUUGGGGAGUACGUCCGCAAGGAUGAAACUUAAAGGAAUUGGCGGGGGAGGCACCGCAACGGGAGGAGCGUGCGGUUCAAUUGGAUUCAACGCCGGACAACUCACCAGGAGCGACGGUUACAUGAAGGCCAGGCUAAUGACCUUGCCUGAUUUUCCGAGAGGUGGUGCAUGGCGUCAGUGACU